rnacentral:rRNA from 1 species
GACGAACGCUGGCGGCGUGCUUAACACAUGCAAGUCGAACGGAAAGGCCUCUUUCGGGGGGUACUCGAGUGGCGAACGGGUGAGUAACACGUGAGUAACCUGCCCUUGACUUUGGGAUAACUUCAGGAAACUGGGGCUAAUACCGGAUAGGAGCUCCUGCUGCAUGGUGGGGGUUGGAAAGUUUCGGCGGUUGGGGAUGGACUCGCGGCUUAUCAGCUUGUUGGUGGGGUAGUGGCUUACCAAGGCUUUGACGGGUAGCCGGCCUGAGAGGGUGACCGGCCACAUUGGGACUGAGAUACGGCCCAGACUCCUACGGGAGGCAGCAGUGGGGAAUAUUGCACAAUGGGUGGAAGCCUGAUGCAGCAACGCCGUGUGCGGGAUGACGGCCUUCGGGUUGUAAACCGCUUUCGCUCAUGACGAAGCUUUGUGUGACGGUAGUUGGUAAAGAAGCACCGGCUAACUACGU